rnacentral:rRNA from 1 species
AUACGGAGGGGGUUAGCGUUGUUCGGAAUUACUGGGCGUAAAGCGCACGUAGGCGGACUGGAAAGUUGGGGGUGAAAUCCCGGGGCUCAACCCCGGAACUGCCUCCAAAACUUCCAAUCUAGAGAUCGAGAGAGGUGAGUGGAAUUCCAAGUGUGGAGGUGAAAUUCGUAGAUAUUUGGAGGAACACCAGUGGCGAAGGCGGCUCACUGGCUCGAUACUGACGCUGAGGUGCGAAAGCGUGGGGAGCAAACAGAAUUAGAAACCCUAGUAGUCC